UACGGGGGGGGCAAGCGUUGUUCGGAAUUACUGGGCGUAAAGGGCUCGUAGGUGGCCAACUAAGUCAGACGUGAAAUCCCUCGGCUUAACCGGGGAACUGCGUCUGAUACUGGAUGGCUUGAGUUUGGGAGAGGGACGCGGAAUUCCAGGUGUAGCGGUGAAAUGCGUAGAUAUCUGGAGGAACACCGGUGGCGAAGGCGGCGUCCUGGGCCAACACUGACACUGAGGAGCGAAAGCGUGGGGAGCGAACAGG
rnacentral:rRNA from 1 species